rnacentral:misc_RNA from 1 species
GUUAAGACGUUAGAUCUCACUUUCCAAUUGAAAUUGUUUAACUUUGGUUUGCUUAAUAAGCUUUUACGAUAAAUAUGGGUUGACAUUCCCUCCAAAAUUGAAGAAUUCGAAGUUUUCAUUUUAUCUUUAUGCAUGUCAUUGGUAUUGUGACUUUGAUCCAAGCAUGUUCGAUUCAUGGGAUGUUUCCCACUUUUUACUUACUCGCAUGAAAAUAUAUUACAUUUACAUCAU